GCGCUCGUAGUCCAGUGGAUAGGACGUCAGCCUCCGGAGCUGAAAGCGUGGGUUCGACUCCCGCCGAGCGCACCA
rnacentral:tRNA from 3 species